CUCAUUUUGUAAGCAAGUCAUUUUCAAGUGAGGUGAAACUUGGAGUACGCAAGACAAAUCAGACUCUUGAAAGGGGCACAGUCGUCUGGAAAGGUGGUCUAGCUCGAGCAUUUGUAGCUCAUGCGUUUCGCACUGAAGCAACCUGCCUGACUCAGUGCAAAGGAUGGAUGAUGAGCAUGGAUUGAGGCAGCUCUUUGUUCUCUUUUUAUCCUCCUCAUUCCAAGUGCUGGCCAAUACUUUGUUUACUGUCUGCCUUCAAAACCCGUCAUUGAAUGCAGAAUACACUAUUUCUUCUUGGGCUUUUUUGUGGAGCUCAUCACUGCAGUAUGAAUGAAUUUAUUAUUGCAACGCACCUGCAAAGUAGGAAGGUAUUGUUAUCCCCAUUUCACAGAUGGGGAAAACAGUUACCUUUUCGUAACUGGUGUUCUUUGAGAUGUGUUGCUCAUGUCUAUUCCACAAUAGGUGUGCGUGCUCGCCACUUGCACCGGUGCCAAAAGUUUUUCCCCUAGCACUACCCCCGUGACCCCUGGAGUGGUGCCUGCCUGGCACGGUAUAAUGGGAGCUACGUGCUCCCCCCACCCUCAGUUCCUUCUUCCCAGACAACUCCGGCAGAGGGGAAGGAGGGCAGGAUGUGGAAUAGACAUGAGCAACGCAUCUCGAAGAACACCAGUUACGAAAAGGUAACUGUCUUUUCUUCUUCGAGUGAUUGCUCAUGUGUAUUCCACAAUAGGUGAUUCCAAGCUAUACCUUCUGGAGGUGGGUAGGAGUUCACAAGUUCUCGGGACGGAGUACCGCCCUGCCAAACCUGACGUAUUCCCUGGUUUGGGAGACUAUCGCAUAGUGCGAGGUGAACGUGUGAACCGAAGACCUCGUGGCGGCCCUACAAAUGUCCUGUAUAGGGAUGUGGGACACGAAGGCAGCCAACGAGGCCUGCACCUAAGUCGAGUGCGCCCUCACAAUGGGCAGCGGCCGGCAGGGGGACACCCGCCUGCUCAUAACAAGAGCAGAUGCACGAACUGAUCCAGUUGGAAAGCUGCUGAGUGGAAAUCGGCUGGCCUCUCACGCACUCAGCCGUGGCGACAAACAGUUGCAAGGACCUUCUGAAAGGCUUGGUCCGCUCAAGGUAGAAAUUAAUACGUGUAAUGAACAAUAUUUAUAUAUACUUUUGCUUUGGAUAAAAAUAGUACCUCGAGUUUCUAGUUGUUGUAAACAUUAAAUUGGAAGUUUUCAAUGUCAUUUUAUUGUAAUUAAUUAAAAUGAAUGAAGCCU